CGAAGAACCUUACCUACCCUUGACAUGGUCGGAAUCCCGCUGAGAGGCGGGAGUGCUCGAAAGAGAACCGGCGCACAGGUGCUGUAUGGCUGUCGUCAGCCCGUGUCGUGAGAUGUUGGGUUAAGUCCCGCAACGAGCGCAACCCUUGUCCUUAGUUGCUACGCAAGAGCACUCUAAGGAGACUGCCGGUGACAAACCGGAGGAAGGUGGGGAUGACGUCAAGUCCUCAUGGCCCUUAUGGGUAGGGCUUCACACGUCAUACAAUGGUCGGAACAGAGGGUUGCCAACCCGCGAGGGGGAGCUAAUCCCAGAAAACCGAUCGUAGUCCGGAUUGCACUCUGCAACUCGAGUGCAUGAAGCUGGAAUCGCUAGUAAUCGCGGAUCAGCAUGCCGCGGUGAAUACGUUCCCGGGUCUUGUACACACCGCC
rnacentral:rRNA from 1 species